AUCCACGCGACUUCUGGAAAAUUACUCUGACCCAUGCAGGCCAACCAGUCAAUGAAUUACAUUUCUCAUCUCAUUUUACCCUUUAAAAAGAAAGCGAUGUUUUGGGAGGGGAUGUGAGAGGCUGUUUGUUUCCCAUUCUGCGAUCGGCAGUUUUGCGGACGGAAGAUGGAGAGCCAGCGUUAUCUUUGCUAUUACUGGAUUCCAAAUGGAUGCAUCCUAUUCUUAUUGAUCUGCUUGAUACCAGCUUCAGUGUAAAGGGAGCCACGCAGCUGACAGCCAUAGUGGGAGUGCUCGGUGUUUACAGCAGAACUGGGGCUGUAGGGGAAAAAGAUGAAAAUCUCUUGCAAAAUGUUAAAAUGGCUGCUGACUUGGAGGCCUCUGGCUUCCUGAAAGAUUGGAGGACAGAAAACACUUUAGUUACAGGAGCUCUAUUACUCCUAACGUUGCUUUUUGCAAUUGAAUGUGGCACUGCAUAGGAUAAUCUUGGUUCUGGAGACUGCGCAGCAGGCAAGUGUGCUCCUCAGUGACUUGACUCCUCUCUGCGCUUGCGGAGCAGCACCGAAUCGCUUCCAGCAGCUCACAAAUACCCUUUGGAGAGGUAAACAAUGCGGCAAAGAGAACCUCUUCUGAAAUGUGUGUCGCCUUUGCAGAUGCUCGAGGUUCUUCAUACCCAAUAUGUCACUGAAAUAAAAACCGAAGUAUCUUAG
ensembl:lncRNA